rnacentral:rRNA from 1 species
ACGAACGCUGGCGGCGUGGAUAAGACAUGCAAGUCGAACGAGAGAAUUGCUAGCUUGCUAAUAAUUCUCUAGUGGCGCACGGGUGAGUAACACGUGAGUAACCUGCCCCCGAGAGCGGGAUAGCCCUGGGAAACUGGGAUUAAUACCGCAUAGUAUCGAAAGAUUAAAGCAGCAAUGCGCUUGGGGAUGGGCUCGCGGCCUAUUAGUUAGUUGGUGAGGUAACGGCUCACCAAGGCGAUGACGGGUAGCCGGUCUGAGAGGAUGUCCGGCCACACUGGAACUGAGACACGGUCCAGACACCUACGGGUGGCAGCAGUCGAGAAUCAUUCACAAUGGGGGAAACCCUGAUGGUGCGACGCCGCGUGGGGGAAUGAAGGUCUUCGGAUUGUAAACCCCUGUCAUGUGGGAGCAAAUUAAAAAGAUAGUACCACAAGAGGAAGAGACGGCUAACUCUGUGCCAGCAGCCGCGGUAAUACAGAGGUCUCAAGCGUUGUUCGGAAUCACUGGGCGUAAAGCGUGCGUAGGCUGUUUCGUAAGUCGUGUGUGAAAGGCGCGGGCUCAACCCGCGGACGGCACAUGAUACUGCGAGACUAGAGUAAUGGAGGGGGAACCGGAAUUCUCGGUGUAGCAGUGAAAUGCGUAGAUAUCGAGAGGAACACUCGUGGCGAAGGCGGGUUCCUGGACAUUAACUGACGCUGAGGCACGAAGGCCAGGGGAGCGAAAGGGAUUAGAUACCCCUGUAGUCCUGGCAGUAAACGGUGCACGCUUGGUGUGCGGGGAAUCGACCCCCUGCGUGCCGGAGCUAACGCGUUAAGCGUGCCGCCUGGGGAGUACGGUCGCAAGAUUAAAACUCAAAGAAAUUGACGGGGACCCGCACAAGCGGUGGAGUAUGUGGCUUAAUUCGAUGCAACGCGAAGAACCUUACCUGGGCUUGACAUGUAAUGAACAACAUGUGAAAGCAUGCGACUCUUCGGAGGCGUUACACAGGUGCUGCAUGGCCGUCGUCAGCUCGUGUCGUGAGAUGUUUGGUUAAGUCCAGCAACGAGCGCAACCCCUGUUGCCAGUUACCAGCACGUGAAGGUGGGGACUCUGGCGAGACUGCCCAGAUCAACUGGGAGGAAGGUGGGGACGACGUCAGGUCAGUAUGGCCCUUAUGCCCAGGGCUGCACACGUACUACAAUGCCCAGUACAGAGGGGGCCGAAGCCGCGAGGCGGAGGAAAUCCUGAAAACUGGGCCCAGUUCGGACUGUAGGCUGCAACCCGCCUACAUGAAGCCGGAAUCGCUAGUAAUGGCGCAUCAGCUACGGCGCCGUGAAUACGUUCCCGGGUCUUGUACACACCGCCCGUCACAUCAUGGAAGCCGGUCGCACCCGAAGUAUCUGAAGCCAACCGCAAGGAGGCAGGGUCCUAAGGUGAGACUGGUAAUUGGGAUG